UACUGUUAAUGAUGACAUUGUGAAAGACAAUGGGAAUCUCUCUGAAGAGUAGUGAAGAUAAAUUUUUACUGAGACAGUA